GUCACAGAGUGAUGUGAGGUGCAAAAAUGAAACCAUGUGAUUCAACCAAUCUUUCAUUAUUCAAGAAUAUUGUCACAACCAAAAGAAGCUAAUCUCUUAAAUAUUUCAUAUUUUCAUAUUAGAUAAACAAUAUGAGGAUUUACAUGGUGACAUAGAUGAAAAACCCGCAAUCAGAUCCUUAGAACCUUAUUUUAUUCUUGUUACAAUAAUUAUGUGCUCUUUCACUCUUAUUAACAAGAAAACAGUAGGAAAUAUCAAGCCUAUUCUGCCAAUCCUAUUACUAUAUGAUCAUACAUAAUUUUCUAGACUGGAUAAAUAAUACAGAAGAAGAAAAUUUGGCCUAAAUUUUAUUGACAUUAUUGGAUAAUUUUGAUAGAUGAUGUUCAGUCAAGGAGAUGUUUUCUGUGGAGUAGAAGAAGAAGCUGGGGGGAUUCCUGGGAUACGAGGAGGUGAAGGAGGGAAAGGGAACGGAGGGAAAGGAAGAAAUGGGAUGAUAGGUGGUGGUGGUGAUGGUGGAGUGAGGCCAGGAAUUGGUGGUAAAGGAAUCAAUGGCGCUGGAGGAGGCUGGAGUGGAUUAGGGGGAAGCAAUGGAGGGAUUAGUGGUGGUGGUUGAAGUGGGUUUGGAAGUAACGGAGGUGGCUGAAAAGGGUUUGGAGGAAAAAGGGGCGGUGUUGGAAAGAAAAAGUUAGGGCUUACUUCUUUCUGAUCUGACGCUUGUGCGCUCUUCAAAGACUCAGUAUAAGCUUUUGUGUUUGUGCUGGUCUUUCCAGGCACUGGUGGAAGGUAAGGUAAUCCUGGAAUAGGUGGGAAAGGAGGGAGUUUUGGCAAUGGUGGCAGGUUUGGAAGUAGAGGAACCGAAGGAUUUUGGUUCACAGGGGGGAGAUCAGGGACUGUUGGGUCUUGAAGUGGAGGUGGAAAUGCUGGGCUAUCAGAAGGAGGGAUAGAAGGUAUUGAGGAUUUUUGGGCAUUAAGUUCCCUGGAAUUUUGGAUGCUUGGUUUUUGGUUGCAGAGGUUUGGUUGCUUCUGGGGCUUGAAACUGAAAAAUCCAGCUGAGAAGAUGUGUAGUCCUUCCUUUCUUGACUUGAGACGUAGAGAUGAUGAAGUUGCUGUUGAUGCUACUGCACAAUAUGGUUCACUGCUACUCAACAAUUUCACUGAGCAUCUCUUGAUUCUCUUUACAUGCUUACUAACUGAGAAAGGCAAGUGAACUUUGAACUCUCCAUGCUCAUCUGUUUUCACUUCUUUGCGAAAGUUUGAUUUUGAAUUCUCAUCUGUGCAUUCCACUGCAACAGAUGCUCCUGAAAUGAAGUGGCUGUUCUUUGAGAAAUCCUCUCGGAAACAUGUGUCACAGUAUACUGUACCAACAACGACUGCGGAGGGAAGCUUCCUGUCAUGGCUAGCCUCUGAGAGAUUAUUAAUAAAUGUGAAACAGAGAAGGAAUAUGAUGAAAAAAGAAGGCAUUGUAUGAGUCUUCUCUCUCUCUAUUUCUCUUGAUUUAGAGCAGAAUUAGGAGUUAAUGGGUUGGAAUCUAUAUCAGUUUGCACUUGUUCUCUGCUAAAAUACAAUGCCCUUAGUAUAGUUUCAUCUAGUUGUUUGAGGCAUAAACGAAAGUCUGAUAGAGUUUUUAUAUAGGCAGAGGCAUGGAGGGCUCUUUAUGUCAGUCAUGCAAAACCAGUGAACUGCAAACUAGCAGCAGUGAAUGAGGGUUUACUUUUCCUACCAGCGAACAGCUCAAAAGGAAGGUAAAAUUUGGGAUGUGGAAGGAGAGGCUCUAGUUAGCAUCAUUCAUUGAGUUUGUUCUUUAGUUGGUGUAAAAUUACGAACGGGGGGAU
rnacentral:misc_RNA from 1 species